rnacentral:rRNA from 1 species
AGACGUCUACAUUAGAUACCCGGUAGUCCCAGCCGUAAACUAUGCGCGUUAGGUGUGUCGGUAACCACGUGUUACUGAUGCGCCGAAGAGAAAUCGUGAAACGCACCACCUGGGAAGUACGGUCGCAAGGCUGAAACUUAAAGGAAUUGGCGGGGAGCACCACAACAGGUGGAGCCUGCGGUUUAAUUGGAUUCAACGCCGGACAUCUCACCGGAUAAGACAGCUGAAUGAUUGUCAAUCUGAAGGUUUUACAUGACUAGCUG